GCGCCGUCUGGUACGCCGUCGCCCACAACACAUCGUCCAGCGUCGCCGUUCCGGCGAGCUUGCGGCUGAACGAAUAGAGAUACUCGGUCGUGCGCGCCCUGCCCGUCGCCAUCACGGCCUGGGUCCGCACCCGCGCCGCAACGUUGGACACAAUCAUUGCGAUCAGCAUGAAGAAGAAGAACGCCGCNAGAACGCCGCGACGUUGGUCGGGUCGGUAAUGGUGAACGUAUAGACCGGUGGGAGAAAGAA
rnacentral:misc_RNA from 1 species